rnacentral:rRNA from 1 species
CCCGGGGGGCAGCAGUAGGGAAUUUUCGUCAAUGGGCGCAAGCCUGAACGAGCAAUGCCGCGUGAACGAGGAAGGUCUUCGGAUCGUAAAGUUCUGUUGAAGGGGAAAAAGAGCGGAGAGAGGAAAUGGUCUCCGAUUGAUAUUACCCUUCGAGGAAGUCACGGCUAACUACGUGCCAGCAGCCGCGGUAAUACGUAGGUGGCGAGCGUUAUCCGGAAUGAUUGGGCGUAAAGGGUGCGUAGGCGGCCUGCUAAGUCUGGAGUGAAAGGUACCGGCUCAACCGGUAUAGGCUCUGGAAACUGGCG